UAAAUUUUUUUUGUUGACACCACUUUAACCUCUAUUUUUUUAUUUGAGUUUUAUAUUUAUUUCAUUAUUAAUUUUAAUAAAUUUAAUAAAUUUCUCUUGCCGUUAUCUCCUCCAUUAAUUUUUUCUACUAUAUUAGUGAUAAAGUUAAAACAACAUAGUACUAAUGUAAAAAUUUGAUAAACCACAGAAUACUAAAGUGAAUAUUCAAUAAAGCAUAGGUGGGCUAUUUGAUAUAAUUUAAUGGAGAGUUAAUAGAGGUGCUAACAGAAAGGAAAAAAUAAAAUCAUAGAAUACUAAAGUGAUACUUUUUAAAAUAUAUGAUAUUAAAGUGAAAAAGUGUGAAACCACAUGGUUGGUAUUGAAGUUUACCCUAAAUUAUAUACAAUUAUUAUUAUAAAGAAAAAAGGCAAUUUCAUCGGUAACCUUAUCAAACUUGUAAAUUUCGUGAAUACUCCUCUAAACUUUAAAAUAUCAUAAAUACCUUUUCAAACACAUA
rnacentral:lncRNA from 1 species